AUGACGGCCAGCAUUAAGGUUUUCGCUACAGUAGCUCUUGUGUGUGAUUAGACGGCCUAGUCUUUGCUCUCCACACGCAUCAAUGAGUCUUUUGGCACCCGUGACCCUGAUGCCAGUACAUUGGUUGUCUUUACUUGCACUACUUUUGGUAGAUGCUAACCACUGCAUACCUGGAACACCCCACAAGACUUGCUGUUUUGGAGAAG